UCUGGGAGAUAGCCUUUCGAAAGGAAGAUUAAUACCCCAUAAUAUGACGAAUGGCAUCAUUUGUUAUUGAAAGCCCCGGCGGAUAGAGAUGGGCACGCGCAAGAUUAGCUUGUUGGUGAGGUAACGGCUCACCAAGGCGAUGAUCUUUAGGGGGCCUGAGAGGGUGAUCCCCCACACUGGUACUGAGACACGGACCAGACUCCUACGGGAGGCAGCAGUGAGGAAUAUUGGACAAUGGGUGAGAGCCUGAUCCAGCCAUCCCGCGUGAAGGACGACGGCCCUAUGGGUUGUAAACUUCUUUUGUACAGGGAUAAACCUAUCUACGUGUAGAUAGCUGAAGGUACUGUACGAAUAAGCACCGGCUAACUCCGUGCCAGCAGCCGCGGUAAUACGGAGGGUGCGAGCGUUAUCCGGAUUUAUUGGGUUUAAAGGGUCCGUAGGCGGGUCUGUAAGUCAGUGGUGAAAUCUCAUAGCUCAACUAUGAAACUGCCAUUGAUACUGCAAGCCUUGAGUGAAUUUGAAGUGGCUGGAAUAAGUAGUGUAGCGGUGAAAUGCAUAGAUAUUACUUAGAACACCGAUUGCGAAGGCAGGUCACUAAGAUUCAACUGACGCUGAUGGACGAAAGCGUGGGGAGCGAACAGGAUUAGAUACCCUGGUAGU
rnacentral:rRNA from 1 species